rnacentral:rRNA from 1 species
UAGUAACGGCGAGUGAAGCGGCAAAAGCUCAAAUUUGAAACCCUCGGGAAUUGUAAUUUGAAGAUUUGGCAUUGGAGAAAGCUAACCCAAGUUACUUGGAAUAGUACGUCAUAGAGGGUGACAACCCCGUCUGGCUAACCGUUCUCCAUGUAUUGCCUUAUCAAAGAGUCGAGUUGUUUGGGAAUGCAGCUCAAAGUGGGUGGUAAACUCCAUCUAAAGCUAAAUACUGGUGAGAGACCGAUAGCGAACAAGUACUGUGAAGGAAAGGUGAAAAGAACUUUGAAAAGAGAGUGAAAUAGUAUGUGAAAAUUGUUGAUAGGGAAGGAAAUGA